UACGUAGGGUCCGAGCGUUGUCCGGAAUUACUGGGCGUAAAGAGCUCGUAGGUGGUUUGUCGCGUUGUUCGUGAAAACUCACAGCUCAACUGUGGGCGUGCGGGCGAUACGGGCAGACUAGAGUACUGCAGGGGAGACUGGAAUUCCUGGUGUAGCGGUGGAAUGCGCAGAUAUCAGGAGGAACGCCGGUGGCGAAGGCGGGUCUCUGGGCCGAUACUGACGCUGAGGAGCGAAAGCGUGGGGAGCGAACAGG
rnacentral:rRNA from 1 species